UCGGCAAUGGAUAUCUUGGCUCUUGCAUCGAUGAAGAGCGCAGCGAAAUGCGAUACGUGGUGCGAAUUGCAGAAUCCCGUGAACCAUCGAGUUUUUGAACGCAAGUUGCGCCCGAGGCCGCCUGGCCAAGGGCACGUCCACCUGGGCGUCAAG
rnacentral:rRNA from 1 species